UUGUUCCCGCCGCUCUGCGGGCAGGAGCGGGCGCGUGGGGAGCCGACGGCUCGGGAGCCGUUUGAGACGUGCCUGCGGGCAGGGUGAGCCGUGAAUUCGCGGACCUGGUUCCCAGUCCCUGGUCUCUGCGCUAAAAAAAAAAAAAAAAAAAAAAAUCCAUAUUUAACGUCCACGCUCCUAACAGCGCUAGCAUUUCAUGGACGUUGGAGAAAUGCUCAUCCAUAAAAGUGCCGUGGAGUUCUAAAGACAGGUUUUGAAUAACGGAUUCUCCGGGAUGGAUUUUAAAUGCUAUACAUUUCCUCUUCAAAAAAAGAAGGAGACUUCAAAAAAGAAAAAAAAAAAAAAAAGGAAAGAAAGGAAAGGAAGGAAGGGAGAAAAAACGGAAAGAAAAAAAGAAGAAACAAAGGAAAGAAAGGAACGGGGGAAAAAAACGAAAGAAAGACUCAGCUAAGGUGACAAAAGCCAACAAAAAGUGUCCAUACAACAAAUGUUUGUAUAGAGUGAAUAUUAGUCUUGUUACUUAGUCGCCAAUAUGUUGGGAUUUUUCUAAUGAAACUCCUGGAGGGCAAAGUGUUUUCCUGGGCCUAACAGGUUUGCUUCAUUUCAUCAAAUGAACCCAAGAAUUAGAGAGUAAGCAUGUUUGAGAUAAUCCUUUGGAUCUUUCUUCGUUGUUCACACCAAAUGUUUGAAAUAUUACACGAUGGAAAGCGACAAGUUGUGGGAGAUACAGACACAUUCUCUGCAAUUGAGUGGCGGUCACUGUUGUUUUAUUCUUUGGGUAUUAACCACUUUCUUUGGCACUUAUUAUUUAUGUCGAAAAUAGUCCAUUACCCGCCUUCCCCACAGACUCCCUCCCUAAGAGGUGAUCCACAUCUAAAAAUAAAAUACUCAUUAUACAGUGAA